GAUGAAGAACGUAGCGAAAUGCGAUAAGUAAUGUGAAUUGCAGAGUUCAGUGAAUCAUCGAGUCUUUGAACGCACAUUGCGCCCCCUGGUAUUCCGGGGGGCAUGCCUGUCCGAGCGUCAUUGCUGCCCUCAAGCCCGGCUUGUGUGUUGGGUCUCGUCCCCCUUCCCGGGGGGACGGGCCCGAAAGGCAGCGGCGGCACCGCGUCCGGUCCUCGAGCGUAUGGGGCUUUGUCACCCGCUCUGUAGGCCCGGCCGGCGCUUGCCGAUCAACCAAAACUUUUUUCCAGGUUGACCUCGGAUCAGGUAGGGAUACCCGCUGAACUUAAGCAUAUCAAUAAGCGGAGGA
rnacentral:misc_RNA from 1 species